AGAAUUUGCCUGGCGGCCUUAGCGCGGUGGUCCCACCUGACCCCAUGCCGAACUCAGAAGUGAAACGCCGUAGCGCCGAUGGUAGUGUGGGGUCUCCCCAUGCGAGAGUAGGGAACUGCCAGG
rnacentral:rRNA from 1 species